rnacentral:rRNA from 1 species
AUGGAGGCUGCGGGCGCAGCUGUGGCUGCGGCGGCGGCGGCGGCCGAAUCCGAUGGAACCGCAGAGAAGCGGGCACGGAGUGGCGACUGCGACGACACCGCCGACGAUUUCAUCAGCAGUCUCCCCGACGCCGUCCUCGGCACCAUCGUCUCCCUCCUCCCCACCAAGGACGGCGGCCGCACGUGGGUCCUCUCCCGCCGAUGGCGCCACCUCUGGCGCUCCGCGCCUCUCAACCUCGAGGUCAGCACCCGACCCCCCGACGCCGCCGCCGCCGCCGACAGCCCCGUCCCCACCCCCUCACGCGUCCCGCCCUCCGCCGUCUCCGAGAUAAUCUCCAAACACCCUGGCCCCGCACGCCGAUUCUCCCUCCACUGCCGCGGCGACGACGACCACUGCCCCCAGGCGGAGAGCUGGCUUCGCUCCCGCGCCCUCGCCAACCUCCAGGAGCUCGAUAUCUGCUACGCUGAACCCCCGCUGCUGACACCGGUUCUCCGCUCUGCAUCCAACAUCCUUGUCGCCAAGAUCAGCCAUUGUGAUUUCGAGCCGGCCAUGAUCAAUUUCCCCUUCCUCAAGAAGCUCUCCCUGUUUCGCCUUACCAUCUCAGCGGACCUCUUCCCCAGACUGUUAUCUGGCUGCCAUGCCUUGGAGAUCUUAUCCAUGACCAAAGUUCGUGCUGUGGGUUGUCUCUGUCUUAGCUCGCCGACCAUUAGGACCAUCAUCUUCCGUCAUAGCUACGGUGAAACCGUGGAACUGGUCAUCGAGGAUGCUCCUCGCCUUGUAAGGUUACUAGUACCUUAUUGUGAGAGAAAUGAUAGUGUGACUAUCAGGGUAACUAGGGCGCCUAAUCUGGAGAUAUUGGGCCCUUUCUUUGUCGUCGACUCCAAGCUCCUACUCUUCCAGGGAAUAAGCCCAGUCAGCUCCACAAACUCGAUGCACACCUUGAAGGUUUUGGCUCUCAAGUCUUCUGGGCAGAAAUUGAAUGCAGUUCUUAACAUCCUUAGGGGGUUCCCCUGUUUAGAAAAGCUUUGUGUUAUUUUUCAUACAAACCGUGAGAGGAAUGACGAAAAUGAGCCCCAGUAUGACCCACUACAUCCAAUCGAAUGCCUUGAGACCCGUCUAAAAAAAGUGGUGUUUAAGUCAUUUGAGGGCUAUGGCAAACAGGUUGACUUUGCGAAGUUCUUUGUAUUGAAUGCAAAGGUGCUAGACAAAAUAGAAUUUGAAGUAAGAAAUCAGUACAGCAGUGAGACAGUGGCUUAUGAACACAGGCUGCUACAAGUGGAAAACAGAGCUUCCCGGGAGGCUCGGGUUGAAUUCAGGACUACUAAAUACUGA